CAGAUGCAUCACCAAUCACAGUUUUACCUACAUCUCUCAAGUAGCCAUUGAACCAGAGUAGACCUUGUAAGCAUCUUAAAAACUCCGUCAACAUUCUUCAUCCUGAAUAUAUUCUCUUCGGGCUAGGGGAUCAUAUCUUCCAGACAGCCAUUACAUGAGCCGCUGUCUUUCUCUCUAUAGUACUCUCUAUAAUGCUACGUAGGGACCUUACCACUAGUGGAAUUAGAC
rnacentral:lncRNA from 1 species